rnacentral:rRNA from 1 species
GACGAACGCUGGCGGCGUGCUUAACACAUGCAAGUCGAGCGGUAAGGCUCCUUCGGGAGUACACGAGCGGCGAACGGGUGAGUAACACGUGAGCAAUCUGCCCUUCACUUUGGGAUAACUUCCGGAAACGGAAGCUAAUACCGAAUACGACCACUUCAGGCAUCUGAUGGUGGUGGAAAGUUCCGGCGGUGAAGGAUGAGCUCGCGGCCUAUCAGCUUGUUGGUGAGGUAACGGCUCACCAAGGCUUCGACGGGUAGCCGGCCUGAGAGGGUGACCGGCCACACUGGGACCGAGACACGGCCCAGACUCCUACGGGAGGCAGCAGUGGGGAAUAUUGGACAAUGGGCGAAAGCCUGAUCCAGCAACGCCGCGUGGGGGAUGACUGCCUUCGGGUUGUAAACCUCUUUCAGCGGGGACGAAGCGAAAGUGACGGUACCCGCAGAAGAAGCACCGGCCAACUACGUGCCAGCAGCCGCCGUAAGAC